CCAGCAGCCGCGGUAACUCCAGCUCCAAUAGCGUAUAUUAAAGUUGCUGCAGUUAAAAAGCUCGUAGUUGGAUCUCGGUAUUAUUGUUGCCUGCUGGCUUUAGAGGCACUAGCUGGCCUAGCGGUGCAUGGGUGAGCCUGUGCAGCGUGGGGUCGGCGGCCUUGGGUCGGCGUGGCGGCGGUGAUACCUUUCAGCCAUGUCUGUGGUGCAAUAUCCACAGGUGUAGGCGAGUGCCAGGCGGUGCCCUGCAACUGUGGGGUUCGUCGGCUUGUCUGCAUGCCUACGGAUGCCCUUUAAAAGGUGUCUGUGGGCGGAUGGCACGUUUACUUUGAACAAAUUUGAGUGCUCAAACCAGGCCGAUGCUGCCUGAAAAGUUUUGCAUGGAAUAAUGGAAUAGGACUUCGGUUCUAUUUCGUUGGUUUUCGGAUCCGAAGUAAUGAUCAAAAGAGACAGGCGGGGG
rnacentral:rRNA from 1 species